rnacentral:rRNA from 1 species
GAUGAACGCUGGCGGCGUGCCUAAUACAUGCAAGUCGAGCGAACAGACGAGGAGCUUGCUCCUCUGACGUUAGCGGCGGACGGGUGAGUAAAACGUGGAUAACCUACCUAUAAGACUGGGAUAACUUCGGGAAACCGGAGCUAAUACCGGAUAAUAUAUUGAACCGCAUGGUUCAAUAGUGAAAGACGGUUUUGCUGUCACUUAUAGAUGGAUCCGCGCCGCAUUAGCUAGUUGGUAAGGUAACGGCUUACCAAGGCGACGAUGCGUAGCCGACCUGAGAGGGUGAUCGGCCACACUGGAACUGAGACACGGUCCAGACUCCUACGGGAGGCAGCAGUAGGGAAUCUUCCGAAAUGGGCGAAAGCCUGACGGAGCAACGCCGCGUGAGUGAUGAAGGUCUUCGGAUCGUAAAACUCUGUUAUUAGGGAAGAACAAAUGUGUAAGUAACUAUGCACGUCUUGACGGUACCUAAUCAGAAAGCCACGGCUAACUACGUG